GACGAACCACACGAACGUUAUUCGGAAUUACUGGGCUUAAAGGGUGCGUAGGCGGCGCAGAAAGUUGGGUGUGAAAUCCCUCGGCUCAACCGAGGAACUGCGCCCAAAACUACCGUGCUCGAGGGAGACAGAGGUGAGCGGAACUUAGGGUGGAGCGGUGAAAUGCGUUGAUAUCCUAAGGAACACCCGUGGCGAAAGCGGCUCACUGGGUCUCUUCUGACGCUGAGGCACGAAAGCUAGGGUAGCGAACGGG
rnacentral:rRNA from 1 species